ensembl:lncRNA novel transcript
AGAUGGAGUUUUGCUCUUGUUGCCCAGGCUAGAGUGCAGGGUGCAAUCUUGGCUCACUGCAACCUCUGCCUCCUGGGUUCAUGAGAUUCUUCUACCUCAGCCUCUUGAGUAGCUGAGAUUACAGGCGCACACCACGACACCCAGAUAAAUUUUGUAUUUUUAGUAGAGACGAGAUUUUAUCAUGUUGGCCAGGCUGGUCUUGAACUCCUAACCUCAGGUGAUCCUCCCGCCUCGGCCUCCCAAAGUGCUGGGAUUACAGGUGUGAGUCACCACGCCCAGCCUGGAAUGGUACUUUUAAGGAAAUGACACCCUUCGCAAUCUUUAAUCCCAUCUCUUUACACAUCCUAAUGGGCUGUAAUUUUCUAUUGUUCUGUGCUUCCUGUGAAGACAUUACUCUAAGUGCCAAUUAUAAACAAACAAAUAAAUAAAUCUUCAAAGUUUUAAAAUAUUUUUCACCCCUCAUGAACAUCCAGUAUGUUCAUUAUUUCUGUACUUCCAGAGUUAGUAAUGGAUGAAGUGACAGUGA